UACGAGGGGGGGCGAGCGUUGUUCGGAAUUAUUGGGCGUAAAGGGCGCGUAGGCGGCCUGUUGCGUCCGCUGUGAAAGCCCGGGGCUUAACCCCGGGUCUGCAGUGGAUACGGGCAGGCUAGAGGUAGGUAGGGGAGAAUGGAAUUCCCGGUGUAGCGGUGAAAUGCGCAGAUAUCGGGAGGAACACCGGUGGCGAAGGCGGUUCUCUGGGCCUUACCUGACGCUGAGGAGCGAAAGCGUGGGGAGCGAACAGG
rnacentral:rRNA from 1 species